ACUCAAAUGAAUUGACGGGGACCCGCACAAGCAGCGGAGCGUGUGGUUUAAUUCGUUGCUACGCGAAGAACCUUACCUGGGUUUGACAUAUAGGUUGUAGGGAACUGAAAAGGGACCGACCCUUCGGGGAGCCUAUACAGGUGUUGCAUGGCUGUCGUCAGCUCGUGUCGUGAGAUGUUCGGUUAAGUCCGCUAACGAGCGCAACCCUCGUCGUAUGUUACAUGUGUCAUACGAGACUGCCGGUAAAAAGCCGGAGGAAGGUGGGGAUGAUGUCAAGUCAGCAUGACCUUUAUAUCCAGGGCUACACACACGCUACAAUGGUCUGUACAAUGGGUAGCCAAGCCGCGAGGUGGAGCCAAUCCUGAAAGCAGGCCUCAGUUCGGAUUGUAGUCUGAAACUCGACUGCAUGAAGUCGGAGUUGCUAGUAACCGCAGGUCAGCAAUACUGCGGUGAAUACGUUCCCGGGUCUUGUACACACCGCCCGU
rnacentral:rRNA from 1 species